rnacentral:rRNA from 1 species
GAUGAACGCUGGCGGCGUGCCUAAUACAUGCAAGUCGAGCGAACGGACGAGAAGCUUGCUUCUCUGAUGUUAGCGGCGGACGGGUGAGUAACACGUGGAUAACCUACCUAUAAGACUGGGAUAACUUCGGGAAACCGUAGCUAAUACCGGAUAAUAUUUUGAACCGCAUGGUUCAAAAGUGAAAGACGGUCUUGCUGUCACUUAUAGAUGGAUCCGCGCUGCAUUAGCUAGUUGGUAAGGUAACGGCUUACCAAGGCAACGAUGCAUAGCCGACCUGAGAGGGUGAUCGGCCACACUGGAACGGAGACACGGUCCAGACUCCUACGGGAGGCAGCAGUAGGGAAUCUUCCGCAAUGGGCGAAAGCCUGACGGAGCAACGCCGCGUGAGUGAUGAAGGUCUUCGGAUCUUAAAACUCUGUUAUUAGGGAAGAACAUAUGUGUAAGUAACUGUGCACAUCUUGACGGUACCUAAUCAGAAAGCCACGGCUAACUACGUG